rnacentral:rRNA from 1 species
AGUGAACGCUGGCGGUAGGCCUAACACAUGCAAGUCGAACGGCAGCACAGUAAGAGCUUGCUCUUACGGGUGGCGAGUGGCGGACGGGUGAGGAAUACAUCGGAAUCUACUUUUUCGUGGGGGAUAACGUAGGGCCACUUACGCUAAUACCGCAUACGACCUACGGGUGAAAGCAGGGGAUCUUCGGACCUUGCGCGAUUGAAUGAGCCGAUGUCGGAUUAGCUAGUUGGCGGGGUAAAGGCCCACCAAGGCGACGAUCCGUAGCUGGUCUGAGAGGAUGAUCAGCCACACGGGAACUGAGACACGGUCCAGACUCCUACGGGAGGCAGCAGUGGGGAAUAUUGGACAAUGGGCGCAAGCCUGAUCCAGCCAGACCGCGGGGGUGAAGAAGGCCUUCGGGUUGUAAAGCCCUUUUGUUGGGAAAGAAAAGCAGCAGGUUAAUACCCCGCUGUUCUGACGGUACCCAAAGGAGAAGCACCGGCUAACUUCGU